rnacentral:lncRNA from 1 species
UUUCAAAAUUUUCUCUUGUUGUUAUUUCCUAAAUAAUACAAUACAACUAUUUAUGUAGUAUAUAGUUGUAUUAGAUAUUAUAAGUAAUCUAGAAAUGAUUUAAAAUAUACAAAGAGUUGUGCAUAAGUUAAAUGCAAAUAUUAUUCCAUUUUAUAUAAGGACUUUAGCAUCUGCAGAUUUCUUUGGGGGUUCUGGAACUAAUCUCCUGCAGAUACUGACUAUAUUUAUAUAUUUUAUAUAUUCCCAAGGGCUGACUAUAUUUAUAUAUCUUUAUUGCUGAUGACAACUUAAAUAUGAUUUGAUUCUCUAGGAACAAAAUGUAAUGACAGGUAAAGCAAGACAAAUGGAAAUUAGAUCUUUGUAUGAAAUACUUCCAGUAAAAGAAGGUAUGCUUAUUUAUAAAAAAUAAGUAAAUGAUGAUAAUUUAAUUUAAAUAUUAAAAAAAAAUUUGUG